UUAAGUUCAGCGGGUAUCCCUACCUGAUCCGAGGUCAACCAUAGAAAAUUUGGGGUUGUUGGCAAGCAACCGCCGGGACUCUGUAGCGAGAAAAAUUACUACGCUUAGAGCCAGACGGCACCGCCACUGAUUUUAAGAGCCGCUGGUGUGCGAACUCCAAUACCAAGCUAGGCUUGAGUGGUGUAAAUGACGCUCGAACA
rnacentral:misc_RNA from 1 species